CGAGAUAUGUUCUGUUGGUCUAAAGUAGUAUUCCUUAAACGUCGAUUCGCGGGACCAGUCAGCUGUGCGGAGGAGGUCUUCCAGUUUACAUCCAAUGGAGAAUGCUUUAGAGGCUAUAGCGCCUCUAGUAGAGUGUGCCCCGUAAACGGCUGUGUCGAUAUUAGCAUUUGACAUUAUCCAUUUCACCCAACGUGUCAGAGUUCCCGUGGAUACUGGUUGAUGAGGUUUUCUCACUGCCAAGAACAAAUUAUGUGUUGUUGGGUUCCGGAAUGGCUGUGUCCGUAAUUCAUAUUCCUGCAGGCAUGCUACCGGGCAGAGGUUAGCGUUGUGAGGAAAGGAGGGAUAGAAGACUGAAGUGGUGUUCGACUUCGUACGUCUGGUGAUAUUAAACAGGACACCAUCCGGUGUGAAUGAUCGUGCAUCGAUGUCUAAGGCCCUCACGUCUGAUACCCGUUUGCAGGAAAUUAAGCAUAGGAGCAUCGCCAAUUUUGCAGACACUUGCUUGAGUGUGAGGUUCGAGUUUGGGGGCCAAUCUUGCAACAACCGAAGGACUAUAUUCACAUCCCAUAGGGCCGUGUAACGAGGUUGUGGCGGACGUGCGAAUUUUAUGCCUCGUAGGAGACGACAGAUCCAUAAGUGUUUCCCAGCCGGGAAGCCUUCCCAACCAGUGUGCCCAGCUGAAAUCGCUGACCUGUACACAUUUAUGGUGCGAUAAGCCAAGCCUUGGUCAUAAAGGGUAGUAAGGAAGCCCAAAACCUGGUUUAUAGGAGCACGUAUGGGAUCCACGUGCCGUUCCACGCACCAACUACACCAUGUGUUCCAGGCAUGAGCAUAGGAACGUCUUGUCCCUGGGGCCCAAGCUCCUGCCAAUAAUUCCAAAGUCGUUUGUGAAACAUUCGGCAUGGUCCAGGGUCCCCGGAGAGGAGCCAUGUUAGGAGUCUGAGAUGACCUUGCACCAGAAGUGGAUGAGAGUUCCCAUCGGGAUCUGAUAAUAAUUCCGUGCUCCCUGGAAUCAAUCUGGGGAGGUCGAUUGACAUUUCCAUGAGGGAAGGGAACCAUGGCUGUGCCGUCCAGAACGGUGUUAUCAAAACCAACGAUGCUCGGGAGCGCUGUAAGUGUAGGAGAGUCCGCGCUAUGAGUGAGAAAGGGGGGAA